GACGAACGCUGGCGGCGUGCUUAACACAUGCAAGUCGAACGGAAAGGCCCUGCUUUUGUGGGGUGCUCGAGUGGCGAACGGGUGAGUAACACGUGAGUAACCUGCCCUUGACUUUGGGGUAACUUCAGGAAACUGGUGCUAAUACCGGAUAGGAGCUCCUGCUACAUGGUGGUGGUUGGAAAGUUUCGGCGGUUGGGGGUGGACUCGCGGCUUAUCAGCUUGUUGGUGGGGUAGUGGCUUACCAAGGCUUUGACGGGUAGCCGGCCUGAGAGGUUGACCGGCGACAAUGGGACUGAGAGACGGACCAGACGCCUACGGGAGGCAGCAGUGGGGAAUAUUGCACAAUGGGGGGAAGCCUGAUGCAGCAACGCCGCGUGCGGGAUGAAGGCCUGCGGGUUGUAAACCGCUUUCGCCUGUGACGAAGCGUGAGUGACGGUAAUGGGUAAAGAAGCACCGGCUAACUACGUG
rnacentral:rRNA from 1 species